ACGGAAGGCAGCAGUGGGGAAUAUUGGGCAAUGGGGGAAACCCUGACCCAGCAACGCCGCGUGAAGGAAGAAGGCCUUCGGGUUGUAAACUUCUUUUACCAGGGACGAAAUUUUGACGGUACCUGGAGAAAAAGCAACGGCUAACUACGUGCCAGCAGCCGCGGUAAUACGUAGGUUGCAAGCGUUGUCCGGAUUUACUGGGUGUAAAGGGCGUGUAGGCGGAGCUGCAAGUCAGAUGUGAAAUCCCGAGGCUCAACCCCGGAACUGCAUUUGAAACUGUAGCCCUUGAGUAUCGGAGAGGCAAGCGGAAUUCCUAGUGUAGCGGUGAAAUGCGUAGAUAUUAGGUGGAACACCAGUGGCGAAGGCGGCUUGCUGGACGACAACUGACGCUGAGGCGCGAAAGCGUGGGGAGCAAACAGGAUUAGAUACCCUGGUA
rnacentral:rRNA from 1 species